rnacentral:lncRNA from 1 species
GUGGUCAUUAUAUGUAAUGCGGCUAGCGUUAUGAUGUUAGUUUUUUAUUUUGAGGUUGACAAUAUUUAUUUCAGUGGUUUUGUGAUUAUGUGUGGGUAUUUAAGAUGGUGUGAUGGACUUGAUGGUUUAAUGGCCUUAAUUUAUGUUAAGGAUCUAUAAGUUUGAGUCUGGUAACUCAUCUGGGUGGGUAUAUAUAUUAUUUGUUAGUUGCUGGAUUUGAUGUUGGUUUUGGUUCUUGUUUGUUGGGUUGACAGAAUAGUUGAUCCACAGUUUGUCAGUCCACUUUCGUUGAGGUGUGACUCAAUGUUUUAAAAACCGGACCGGAUACCGACUCGUCGUAUUCACUGGUCGGACCGGUCGAACCGGAUUUUUAA